rnacentral:rRNA from 1 species
CAUAUCAAUAAGCGGAGGAAAAGAAACUAACAAAGGAUUCCCCUAGUAACUGCGAGUGAAGCGGGAAAAGCUCAAAUUUAAAAUCUGGCAGUCUUUUGGCUGUCCGAGUUGUAAUCUAGAGAAGUGUUAUCCGCGCUGGACCGUGUACAAGUCUCCUGGAAUGGAGCAUCAUAGAGGGUGAGAAUCCCGUCUUUGACAUGGACUGCCAGGGCUUUGUGAUGCGCUCUCAAAGAGUCGAGUUGUUUGGGAAUGCAGCUCAAAAUGGGUGGUAAAUUCCAUCUAAAGCUAAAUAUUGGCGAGAGACCGAUAGCGAACAAGUACCGUGAGGGAAAGAUGAAAAGAACUUUGGAAAGAGAGUUAAACAGUACGUGAAAUUGCUGAAAGGGAAACGCUUGAAGUCAGUCAUGUCAUCCAGGGAUCAACCUUGCUUUUGCUUGGUGCACUUUCUGGUUUGACAGGUCAGCAUCAAUUUUGACCAUUGGAAAAAGGUUAAGGGAAUGUGGCAUCUUUGGAUGUGUUAUAGCCCUUGGUCGCAUACAAUGGUUGGGAUUGAGGAACUCAGCACGCCGCAAGGCCGGGUUUUUAACCACGUUCGUGCUUAGGAUGCUGGCAAUAUGGCUUUAAUCGACCCGUCUUGAAACACGGACCAAGGAGUCUAACAUGCCUGCGAGUGUUUGGGUGGAAAACCCGAGCGCGUAAUGAAAGUGAAAAGUUGAGAUCCCUGUCGUGGGGAGCAUCGACGCCCGGACUAGACCUUUUGUGACGGUUCCGCGGUAGAGCAUGUAUGUUGGGACCCGAAAGAUGGUGAACUAUGCCUGAAUAGGGUGAAUCCAGAGGAAACUCUGGUGGAGGCUCGUAGCGAUUCUGACGUGCAAAUCGAUCGUCAAAUUUGGGUAUAGGGGCGAAAGACUAAUCGAACCAUCUAGUAGCUGG